GCUACCAUGCAGUCGAGCGGUAGCACAGGGGAGCUUGCUCCCUGGGUGACGAGCGGCGGACGGGUGAGUAAUGUCUGGGAAACUGCCUGAUGGAGGGGGAUAACUACUGGAAACGGUAGCUAAUACCGCAUAACGUCGCAAGACCAAAGAGGGGGACCUUCGGGCCUCUUGCCAUCAGAUGUGCCCAGAUGGGAUUAGCUAGUAGGUGGGGUAAUGGCUCACCUAGGCGACGAUCCCUAGCUGGUCUGAGAGGAUGACCAGCCACACUGGAACUGAGACACGGUCCAGACUCCUACGGGAGGCAGCAGUGGGGAAUAUUGCACAAUGGGCGCAAGCCUGAUGCAGCCAUGCCGCGUGUGUGAAGAAGGCCUUCGGGUUGUAAAGCACUUUCAGCGAGGAGGAAGGUGGUGAGCUUAAUACGCUCAUCAAUUGACGUUACUCGCAGAAGAAGCACCGGCUAACUCCGUGCCAGCAGCCGCGGUAAUACGGAGGGUGCAAGCGUUAAUCGGAAUUACUGGGCGUAAAGCGCACGCAGGCGGUUUGUUAAGUCAGAUGUGAAAUCCCCGGGCUCAACCUGGGAACUGCAUUUGAAACUGGCAAGCUAGAGUCUCGUAAAGGGGGGUAGAAUUCCAGGUGUAGCGGUGAAAUGCGUAGAGAUCUGGAGGAAUACCGGUGGCGAAGGCGGCCCCCUGGACGAAGACUGACGCUCAGGUGCGAAAGCGUGGGGAGCAAACAGGAU
rnacentral:rRNA from 1 species